AUAAUAAUUUAGUUUAAAUAAAAUAACAAUUUGUGGAAUUGUAGAUAUGAUAUCAACUUUAUAUCUAU
rnacentral:tRNA from 1 species